CUGGAUCCUUAUCUAGGCCUACAGCAAGGUCACCAGACUUGCUUACAGCCCUACGGGCAGCAUGGGGGAGGUCACGAGAAACGUGGAUAAACCUAAGUUACGCCCUCUUGUAAAUUCCUAUAUUGAAACCUGGUCACAAGAUGAUAUGUGGUAAAGUUAACUCACAAACAACCCCAGGGUCUCUCUGCCCCAUAUAAACCCGUCAUUCUGUAAGCUCAGCGCUGCCUCCUCUGACUGUGGUGGAGCAGCUCAGCAGGAUAAUAAGCUUACUCGCCUGACCUUGGGUCUCUCUCUCAUCCUUUCUCUUGGCUAACCUUCAUUUUGGUGCCAAAACCCAGGAAGGGGAUAGGCUCUGGCUGGGCGUCCUUAGAGGAUUCUCUCUCUCUCUCUCCUAUCAUCCCUUACCCAGCCAACCUCCCCUUCCCGAACCUGCUAAAGACCCUAAGGAUCUCCCAAAAUUCUCCCAUUGUUGGCCACCUCAUCCACCAUCAAAGCCUCUGAGAGGGUUUUUACAGGGCCGUGUUAGAGCCUUCACCCAUGGAACAGUACAAGACAUGAUGCUACUCCGAGAAUACCGACAGCUCCAGGAACAGCAGUCCCUACUACCCAGCCUCUCCCCCCAACCAUCGCCCCUAUCCAGCAAGAAGCAGCCAGAGGACAACGGCGCCCCUCUUCUAUUACCUAUUAAAAGGCUGGAAUGUUAGGAACAAGUUGCACCAGAACCCCUCCCCCUUCCCACCCGCCCCCGCACCCCCCCCCCCCCACCCAAUGCAGCUGUCCCUUACCCUGAAUACUCUGCAGCUGCAUUCCUGGACCCUUAUCUAGGCACUACAGCAAGGUCACCAGACUUGCUUACAGCCCUACGGGCAGCAUGGGGGAGGUCACGAGAAACGUGGAUAAACCUAAGUUACACCCUCUUGUAAAUUCCUAUAUUGUAACCUGGUCACGAGAUGAUAUGUGGUAAGGUUAACCAACAAACAACCCCAGGGUCUCUCUCCCCCAUAUAAAACCCUCAUUUUGUAAGCUCAGGGCUGCCUCCUUUGACUGUGGUGAAGCAGCCUGGCAGGGAAAGCAGGACUGAGUUUGUCGGAAGGUGAGCGGGGCUUGGCCAGAGACGGUGUGCGCUGAGGCAGCGGCCCUGGACAAGAGUGGCGUUUGGAUACUUGACGGUGAAAGGGGAAGAAGCCAGUCACCAGCUCCAAAGUCCAGGAACUACACCUGGCAAAGGUCAAAGCCUGCGAGGUAAGUCAAUUGCGGACAACGCCUGAGCCCCGCGUUUGCAGCCGGCGAGUUGACUUCGGUAGGGAGAAAGUGGCCGGCCCCAAAGGGCAGCCCCGUGGGGGCGCGAGUGGCUAGCUCAGUUUGCGGUCCCCUUUACUCCCACGCCUGCAAAUCUCAGACCCCUACGCCCUCCCCUCGCCGGCCUUGGUGCGUCGGGGUCCCGCCGCCCGCCGUCCCUUACCGAGCCAGAAGUGCAGGUGGUAGGUGAAGCCUCG
rnacentral:lncRNA from 1 species